UACGUAGGGGGCAAGCGUUGUCCGGAUUUACUGGGCGUAAAGGGCGCGUAGGCGGCCACUGCAAGUCAGUUGUGAAAUCUCCGGGCUUAACUCGGAAAGGUCAACUGAUACUGCAGGGCUAGAGUGCAGAAGGGGCAACUGGAAUUCUCGGUGUAGCGGUGAAAUGCGUAGAUAUCGAGAGGAACACCUGCGGCGAAGGCGGGUUGCUGGGCUGACACUGACGCUGAAGCGCGAAAGCCAGGGGAGCGAACGGG
rnacentral:rRNA from 1 species